CAGUGAGAAGCUUCAAUCAAACAACUCAUUUAUUUUCAAAUCAUUGUUUCUGUUCCAGAUCACAGCCUGCAUCAGACUAUGUUGGUGUACGUCUUUUACACAGUUCCCAUUCCAGUCAUCACUGCUUACAUGACUACAUGAAAACAUCAAAAAGACAAUUGUGAUUCUGCUUAUUAUCUGUUUUAUUUUUCUUCUUAGCAAACUUUUUCUAAUACAAUUUUUCUUUUGACUAGACACAAACAGCACAGCAUGAUUCUUGUUCCCAUGAACACACCUGGAGUAAAAAUAAUAAGGCCUUUGUCAGUUUUUGGCUACACAGAUAAUUUUCAUGGAGGACAUUUUGAGAUCCAUUUUAAUCAAGUGCGAGUUCCUGCCACAAAUCUAAUACUAGGUGAAGGUAGGGGAUUUGAAAUUUCCCAAGGCCGCCUUGGACCUGGCAGAAUCCACCACUGUAUGAGAACAGUAGGUUUGGCGGAACGCGCUUUGCAGAUCAUGUGUGAGCGGGCAACACAAAGGAUAGCUUUCAAGAAGAAGUUGUAUGCACAUGUGAGGACGAUUACUUAUUUGAAUUUAUUGUAGCCCGGUGCACUACACUAACAUUGAACAAAAACAUUACUUGUGAGAGACAGACUUUCUCUACAUGAACCGGGUGAUUCUUUUCAAUAAGGCAUAUUUAUGUCUGUAUUUAAAUAUAGUCUAAUGAGAGGUAUUUAUCUUUAUGAAAAAUUAAAUAGUUCCUAAAAUGCUUCAACACCUCUGCACACAAGAGUGUAGACAGUUCCUUCAACUUUCUCAGAUUCUUGUUCUUUAGAGAACCUGGAACAUUAGAGCUCCCUGUGGACAUGAAGGAGCUGUCAUAAGGAAGAAGGAUUUGCCUUGUCCAUUGGUUUCCUAGAAGGAAUUAGGACACAUAAGUGUAAAGUUACAGG
rnacentral:lncRNA from 1 species